AUCCAGCUGACGAGUCCUAAAUAGGACGAAACGCACGUCCUGGAG
rnacentral:hammerhead_ribozyme from 1 species